GCCCACAAAACAUUAAUUGAAAAUGGUUUGCAAUUUUUGCAUAGGCCCUAGACAACUAUAUAUACACUAUCUCUUGGGCUCUAAGGCAACAAAAGUCUUUUUUAUCCUGAAAUAUCAGAAUUCAAAUAUUUCUUUCUCAUACAAUUCCUUUGAAUUUUUUUGGAAGAACAAAACAAUGGGCUUCUGUAUGACAAGUACUAUCAAAAGGCCUAAUAUUCAACAAGCAUCUGCCAAUGGAUUUGAAGACCUAAAAGUAUAUCUUGUUGUCUAGAAUGAGGCAGUUCGUGAUUUCAAUAUCAUAUUUGUGUUAUUAGUGUUGACAUUGGAUUAAGUCUAGUCCAAAUGCUAUGAAUUGUAAAGGACUUGAACUGAUAUCAUAUUUAGUUUAUCAUCUCAUUGUAUGAGGAUGGACUCGGUCAUGCUUAGGGCAAGAUGGGACCAGGAAAAUAGGAACACAUGGAGCCACUUCCUGCCCCAUGAUUUCAACUACCUAGCCAACUACUCCCAUCAUAUUCUUCUGGCUUUGGAUAACAUGCACAAGUGCACCAUAUGGUGUACGAUGCACAAGUUAGCGAUUUCAUUAUAACGAAUACGAAUUCCAUUGUACUUUUGUUAUUUUCAAUCAAGCAAAUUGUGGUA